GACGAACGCUGGCGGCGUGCCUAAUACAUGCAAGUCGAACGCAGUUGCGAACGGGUGAGUAACGCGUAGGUAACUGCCUCAUUGCGGGGGAUAACUAUUGGAAACGAUAGCUAAUACCGCAUACUGUGAGAUGGACCUGCGUUGUAUGUGCUAGGUGGUGUGGUAAAGGUUCACCAAGGUCCCGAUACAUAGCCGACGUGAGAGGGAGUACGGCCACACUUGGAAUUGGACACGGCCCAGACUCCUACGGGAAGCCACAAGUGGGAAUCAUCGGCAAUGGACGGAAGGCUGGACGAGCAACGCCGCGGGAGAGAAGAAGGUUUUCGGAUCGUAAAGGUCUGUUGUUAGAGAAGCGGUAACUAACCAGAAAGGGACGACUAACUACGUGCCAGCAGCCGCGGUAAUAC
rnacentral:rRNA from 1 species